AAAAUAUAGAUGAAUUACCCUCAUAUAUCUCCGGGGAUAGGGCCCGGACGUUUCUACAAGGCAACCGUAAAUUGCCUAACUAUGAGUGGGAUUAUCACACCG
rfam:Geosporobacter subterraneus DSM 17957 genome assembly, contig: EJ58DRAFT_scaffold00038.38